CCCUCUAAAGUUUAAAUCAUCAGUCUUGGAUGAAAAUUUACAGGAUAGAGAUGAUAGUACUCUUCUAGGCUGCGUUUGGUUCGGGUAUAAAUAAGAACGGUUUAUAUCAGGGAUAGGUACAAAUUCAGGUAUAAGUAGGAACUAGACCAAAUUUGCGUUUGGAUGAAAAUUAUAUUGUUCAUAGGAAUAAGAUAAAUAGUGGUUGGAUGGUUAGAUUGGAACAAAAGGAAUAAGAGUUAUAAUUUGAAAUUAAAAUCAUAUUAUCUAAUUAAUUAACAUCAAAAUAUUACUUAAAAUAAAUAAUAAAGGUGAAAAACUAUCCUUGUUCCCGAACCAAACGCUACCCUAGGACUUAGUGGGUGGUUGGUACAAUAGUAUAAUUUAAGAGAUGAAAUUGAUCAAGGGGUAGAUUUAAAGGUGAAAAUCUAAAUAGCACCAAGUAUUUGGUACUAUAUAUAUAUAUAGAGUGAGGCUACUAUGCUAUCGGAAGCACGGAGCCUUCCGUGCUUCCAGCUCGUUUUCGAUAUUACGACUUUCGAAUCGUCGAUCGGCUCCGUUAAACUUGAUCUAGAGUAUUUGAAGUACCUAGAAAAUAAAUUUUAUGAUUUUACGAUAUCAUUUGCAUAGUGAACGAAGGGGCUCAAAAUCAACGGCUAAAAAUAAAAAUCUUACAAAAUAUAAUAAUAUGACAUUAAAAUUUUAAAUCAAAGAUAUUGAUCUUGUUUUAUAUAGUAUAAAGAAUUUUCUAUCAAAAUUUCACGUGAUUUGGAUAUUUCUACACCGUUAAACUUGCAAACGGCACACUACGGCCAUUGAAAUUUGUUGAUUUUGAGCUCAU
rnacentral:lncRNA from 1 species